rnacentral:lncRNA from 1 species
UUCUUCAGGGAUCGCUGAAUAGCGUUGUUGGGAGAGGACUUCCCCAUCUUGGGAGCCCAACCAGUGACUUGUAUCUCCGAGCAGGAGAAUGGUAUUCUGACCAGCUCGAUGUCUGUUGAGGAGUGCGGGGGGCCCUUUGGUCCCUUUGGGAGGAUAAGGCCCUGGGGCCUGAAGGGUUCCCCCCUCUAUUCUUCCAUUGAUACUGACCGAUCAUUCGUGACGAGGUGGUGCAGCUGGCCUUGCAGUCUAAGAGCAUCCCGGUGGAGUGCAAACGGACCUUGAUCACCUU